GACGAACGCUGGCGGCGUGCCUAAUACAUGCAAGUUGAGCGAUGAAGAUUGGUGCUUGCACCAAUUUGAAGAGCAGCGAACGGGUGAGUAACGCGUGGGGAAUCUGCCUUUGAGCGGGGGACAACAUUUGGAAACGAAUGCUAAUACCGCAUAACAACUUUAAACAUAAGUUUUAAGUUUGAAAGAUGCAAUUGCAUCACUCAAAGAUGACCCCGCGUUGUAUUAGCUAGUUGGUGAGGUAAAGGCUCACCAGGGCGAUGAUACAUAGCCGACCUGAGAGGGUGAUCGGCCACAUUGGGACUGAGACACGGCCCAAACUCCUACGGGAGGCAGCAGUAGGGAAUCUUCGGCAAUGGACGAAAGUCUGACCGAGCAACGCCGCGUGAGUGAAGAAGGUUUUCGGAUCGUAAAACUCUGUUGGUAGAGAAGAACGUUGGUGAGAGUGGAAAGCUCAUCAAGUGACGGUAACUACCCAGAAAGGGACGGCUAACUACGUG
rnacentral:rRNA from 1 species